ACAAAUAUCUGUGGAAACGUUGGC
rnacentral:siRNA from 1 species